rnacentral:rRNA from 1 species
UAGGGAAUCUUCGGCAAUGGGGGGAACCCUGACCGAGCAACGCCGCAUGAGUGAAGAAGGUUUUCGGAUCGUAAAGCUCUGUUGUUAAGGAAGAACGAGUGUGAGAAUGGAAAGUUCAUGCUGUGACGGUACUUAACCAGAAAGGGACGGCUAACUACGUGCCAGCAGCCGCGGUAAUACGUAGGUCCCGAGCGUUGUCCGGAUUUAUUGGGCGUAAAGCGAGCGCAGGCGGUUAGAAAAGUCUGAAGUUAAAGGCAGUGGCUCAACCAUUGUAGGCUUUGGAAACUGUUUAGCUUGAGUGCAGAAGGAGAGAGUGGAAUUCCAUGUGUAGCGGUGAAAUGCGUAGGUAUAUGGAGGAACACCGGUGGCGAAAGCGGCUCUCUGGUCUGUAGCUGACGCUGAGGCUAGAAAGCGUGGGGAGCGAACAGG